GUCUUAUUGAAAUUAAUUCUAAGUCUAACCUGCUCAAUGAAAUUUUAAAUAGCUGCAGUAACAAUAACUGUACUAAGGUAGCAUAAUCAUUAGAUUUUUAAUUAAAAUCUUGUAUGAAAGGUUUAAUGAAAUAUAAACUGUCUCAAAUAAAUUAAUUAAAAUUAUUUUUUAAGUAAAAAAACUUAAAUAUACUUAAAAGACGAAAAGACCCUAUAGAAUUUAAUAUUUAAUUAAUUAAUAAAUAUUAUUAUAUAUAAUAUAUAACAUAUUUAUAUUAAUUUAAAUUAUAUAUUUAAUUGGGGCAAUUUUUAAAUUUAAUAAACUUUAAAAUAUUUUACACAAAAAUAAUUGAAAUUUAGAUAUAUUCUUAUAAUAUAAUAUAAUAAAAUUAAUUACCUUAGGGAUAACAGCAUAAUAUUUUUUUUUAGACCAAAUAAGUAAAAAAGAUUAUGACCUCGAUGUUGAAUUAAGAAAAAUUAAAUAGAAAAAAAUUUAAAAUUUAAGU
rnacentral:rRNA from 1 species